UACGUAGGGGGCAAGCGUUGUCCGGAAUCACUGGGCGUAAAGGGCGCGUAGGCGGCGCGGGCAGUCAACGGUGAAAGCUUGGGGCUCAACCCCGAGUCGGCCGUCGAUACUCCCGGGCUGGAGCACUGUAGAGGCAGGUGGAAUUCCGGGUGUAGCGGUGGAAUGCGUAGAGAUCCGGAAGAACACCGGUGGCGAAGGCGGCCUGCUGGGCAGUAGCUGACGCUGAGGCGCGAAAGCGUGGGGAGCAAACGGG
rnacentral:rRNA from 1 species